UCUGUCCACAUAGUGGCAACACGAAGACCGUUUGAUAUAAAGUGUCAAUUUUAAUUUCCGAUAAACUCGGCGG